AUUGAACGCUGGCGGCAUGCCUAACACAUGCAAGUCGAACGAGUAGCGGACUGGUGAGCAAUUUCUGGGCAACUGACUGAUGGAGGGGGAUCACUACUAGAAACGUUAGCUACUACCGCAUACCAUCAGUUGUGCCCAGAUGGGAUUAGCUUGUUGGUGGGUUAACGACGCACCAGGGCGACGAUCCCUACCCGGACUGAGAGGCUGUCCAGCCACACUGGAGCUGAGACACGGUCCAGACUACUACGGGAGGCAGCAGUAGGGAAUAUUGCGCAGUGGGCGCAAGCCGGAUGCAGCCGUGCCGCGUGUAUGAAGAAGGCCUUCGGGUUGUAAAGUCCUUUCGGCGGGGAAGCGUUACCCGCAGAAGAAGCACCGGCUAACUCCGUGCCAGCAGCAGCGGUAAUAC
rnacentral:rRNA from 1 species